UACGUAGGGGGCAAGCGUUGUCCGGAAUCAUUGGGCGUAAAGCGCGCGUAGGCGGCCCUGUAAGUCCGUUGUGAAAGUCAAGGGCUCAACCUUUGAAAGCCGAUGGAUACUGCAGGGCUAGAGUCCGGAAGAGGCGAGUGGAAUUCCUGGUGUAGCGGUGAAAGUGCCGUAGAGAUGUGGAGGAACACCAGUGGCGAAGGGCGACUCUUUGGCCUGUAACUGACGCUGAGGCGCGAAAGCGUGGG
rnacentral:rRNA from 1 species